UUGAGCAAUGAGGUCAGGAGGAGUAAGUCAAGCUAAAGCUCUAAGGAUGGCUGUUUCUAUUUCUGCAAUGGGAGAUGGUUCUUUGCACCACUUACGUGGUUGAUAACUCCCAAGGUUGAGGUCUUUAUCCGGAGCUUUCUGACUGGACCAAAGUAUUCAACUACGACAAUCCAGACUAUCGCGUGGCUGUAGUGGACGAGGCUGGGUACACUAAAUGCCUAGCAGACCCAUAUGCGAAGAUAUAUGAUUCGGGGCAUGAUCAGAUUCAAGUUGGGCCUGAAGACAACUUCUACAUCGCUGCUGUCUCAGAAAACUGCAAUAAGGGAAUGAAACUUCUAGUUUAUGGAGAGACAUCAUGAACAUGAACAUCUACUUCAAAACAACUACUUUUUACUUUAGAAUAAUUUCUAAUAAAGGGUUAAUUAUGUGGUCAUAUACUCAUGCCUGUAAUAUAUUUACCCUUUGAAAAGGAAUAAAAGUAAAGAAGGGAAUGCAAAUUUUAGUUUUGGUGAUGUUCCCAUCACCAAACUCCA